CGCUCACUGACCUCACAGCGAUGAGGUUCACACAACUCUGUUUUCUGCUCCUCCUUGCAGCAGGUGGAUCAACCUCGGAGCUGCAGAAACAAUUUGAUGAUCAACGAGAUUCAGCUCAAAGCUUUGCAGAAAUGACAGGUGGAAACUUCUCUGAACCAGAAAAUUCUAGCAGCAAACUUUUGAAGCCACAAAUACAUCGCGUAAUACCCA